rnacentral:misc_RNA from 1 species
GUUGGUGAACCAGCGGAGGGAUCAUUACCGAGUUAUCAACUCCCAAACCCCUGUGAACAUACCCGAACGUUGCUUCGGCGGGACCGCCCCGGCGCCCUCGCGGCCCGGAACCAGGCGCCCGCCGGAGGACCCAAACUCUUGCAUUAUAGUGGCAUAUUCUGAGUAACACGAUAAAUGAAUCAAAACUUUCAACAACGGAUCUCUUGGCUCUGGCAUCGAUGAAGAACGCAGCAUCUGACUGACUUCAGUA